UGGGGAAUAUUGCACAAUGGGCGCAAGCCUGAUGCAGCCAUGCCGCGUGUAUGAAGAAGGCCUUCGGGUUGUAAAGUACUUUCAGCGGGGAGGAAGGGAGUGAGGUUAAUAACCUUAUUCAUUGACGUUACCCGCAGAAGAAGCACCGGCUAACUCCGUGCCAGCAGCCGCGGUAAUACGGAGGGUGCAAGCGUUAAUCGGAAUUACUGGGCGUAAAGCGCACGCAGGCGGUCUGUCAAGUCGGAUGUGAAAUCCCCGGGCUCAACCUGGGAACUGCAUUCGAAACUGGCAGGCUGGAGUCUUGUAGAGGGGGGUAGAAUUCCAGGUGUAGCGGUGAAAUGCGUAGAGAUCUGGAGGAAUACCGGUGGCGAAGGCGGCCCCCUGGACAAAGACUGACGCUCAGGUGCGAAAGCGUGGGGAGCAAACA
rnacentral:rRNA from 1 species